ensembl:lncRNA
AGUCAACGUUGAUCGCCUCACAGUUAUUUUUCUUAGCAAACUGGAAUUACUCGCCCAACAAAAGCUGUGGUGCGACAUUGAAUAAUCUCUAUUACACUUUUCCCUUAACAUUGCUAAACAAUAAACAAGAGACGACUUUAAUUAUUUAAGAUUUUUUAUUACGGUUCAUUGUAGUUUCUGACAAAAGUUGAACAAACAAGAAAUCUCCCAGAAUAGAGCUAUGAAUAUUACAUGAAUACAGUUUGUAUGAACAAAAAGACAGUAAAAAGAAGUCAGAAGAAAGAUUUUAUAUUUUUUACUUUUACACAUAUAUAAUAUUAUGUAUAUCAUAAUACAAAUCUAUGCCCAUAUAUUUGUUCAUCAUUGGGAUACUCAGCUCAUGGUGAGCUGCAGUGUAUUCCUUAAAUCUUCCCUGUACAAUAUUUUCUCUGAUACAGUCAUGGAGUGUUAUGUAAUGCUGUAAUAUCAAGUAAAACCUGAAUAUGAAUUUGACAUGCAUUAAUUUAAACACCAAAAAUACAGUGUAAAAUUUAGAACAAAAAUAUCAUUCAAUAAUCAAGAAGUCAUUUGUCAUGCCAGUGAUGGCAGUCAUACAAUCAGGGCUUUUCUAACAGGAGUCAGCGAUGAUACUAUUGCUGGUUUGACAGUAUCCAUGACGACAGUACGAGGAAGGAUGCAGUGAUGAGACUGAUCUUGUGGCUUACUCCACUUGAAACCUCUGUAAUGAAUGAGAAAAGAAAACAUGAUAUUACUUUUACAAAUAAAAAACAUAAAAUGGAAAAAAUAUUUGUGAGAUAUUGUUUAAUAUGUCUCACGUGAGCCAUCCACGAAAAUGGAGUUCAGGUCAACAUUGAAGACUGUGAUGUUUGAAGCUGCUUGAAUCAAAACAUUUCCAAUCUGAGUGCCAUUAGGAACAGAAGCUGAUGCAAAUCCAAUGUCCAUGUUGUUGAUGAUUGAACCAUUACUGCAAAUGAAACAACAAUAUGUAGUAUUAUUUAUUUGGAAUACAUUGAUGAUCAGUGCUCUUAAUAUCUGGUCACAAUAAAAUUAACAAAUUACCUGAAUGAAGUCACUGUUAAGGAGCGGAACGAAGUAAAUGCUCUUUGGUAGAACGGCUCGAGCUGCAGAAAUAGAAGUAAAUUGUUUAAAUGAAAAGAUAUAUAUGUUUUUGGUGUUUAUUGAUAACUUGUGGAUUGUUUAUCUCUCCUAUUUUCUAUGAAUGAAUGUAAAACUGACUGUAAAUAUUUUUUUCUUUGAAAACUCACCAGGAAUAAAAAAAACUUUUUUUCCAUUUACAAUAAAUAAUGUUUCAUCCAUCCAUUACUUACAUUUGACGUUAUCAAUGAGGCUCUUCUUUGAAACGCUGCAGAUGAUGUAUUUAGCAAGUCAGUGAUAAAUGUCUCUCCAGCAGAUCUGAAAGACAGUCGCCUUGUUGUGACCGCCUCAGUUGUUACAGGUGCAGCUGUUGUAGGUGCUGCAGUGGUAGGUGCAGCAGUUGUAGGUGCAGCUGUUGUGGGUGCUGCAGUUGUAGGUGCAGCUGUUGUAGGUGCUGCGGUUGGGAUAAGCGAUUUGUCAAAUACUGACUAGAUUAAUUAUUAAUGACAAGCUGUAUAUUUCAUUGCGUUCAAAAGCAUUACCAUUUUAUGCAGGCAAUAUACUUACAAACUGCACGGACAGACUCUGGAUCAACACCGAGGUCGGAGAGACUGUUGUUAUUCGCAGCGUCUAUCAAGGUCUGUGCUACGUCAGCAGCCUGUGGGAUUUCAGCAUCCGGAGUGAACACAAUGUCGACCACUGCUUCAGUAUUAGACGUUCGUGUUGCCGCCGUAGCUGGUCUGCAUUGUGAAAGAAUAUAAAUUCAGCAAAUUAUAGACGUGAUUUAUAUGCAGGGUGCAGCUGUUGUGGGUGCCGCUGUUGUAGGUGCAGCAGUUGUAGGUGCAGCUGUUGUAGGCGCAGCUGUUGUGGGUGCUGCAGUUGUAGGUGCAGCUGUUGUCGUCGUUGUUGCACCUGGACUUGUUACUGCUAUUUCAAGAAAUAUUAAAUGAUUACCGACACAAAGCUUACAUUUUACUUGUGUCAUUGUGAUUCAUAUCUGAUGCUUAGCUUACCCAUUAUAACCAGGAAGAUUAAUAUAAUCCGUGCCACAGCCAUCUUUUUUGUUUUGAAUCCCUACAAAUUGAUCAACGUAGGGGUUCAGUCACAUAGGUACAUGAUGAAAGCUUCCAUGUAUUUGAAACUUUUUAAGUUGCAUACUGUAUUCAGUUUGAACAUGACUAUGGUCAUUGUAGCAGUACGUUCAACUUACACAACAUUCAAAGGGAAACAUAUAUAUUUUUCAAAACAGUGUCUCAAAAUAUUCUAAUCCUGAGUGACAGAGAUUCUAUACUUUGAGACAAGGUAUGGAAUACAACACACGUUUAACAGGAAACAAAAUCCGAAUUUUAUAAUAUGUUAUUGUUUUGUAGCUAAAGUAGUCAAUAUAUAUACAUGUGCAAUGCUAAGAAAAAAAUAAAACGCUUGUUCCAUAAACGUGAUGAAGAGAUAAAAAAACUAAUAGAACUGGAUUAAAAAAUGAAUAUCAGAAAAAGACAAUAUCCCACGAAAUGUUAAAAAAAUGUUAGUAAUAAGUGAAAAUCUCUUCUGUAAUCUUCAAUCAAAGUAAAGCAAUGAAAUACAUAAAUAUCUUCAAAAAAUCUGAACGUAUGUAUAGACACAUUCAAACUCUUUCUCUUUAUCUCUCUCUUUGACACACAUGCAGAGACUAUAAAUAUACAGAAAUCUGUUUAUUGACUUAAAAAUAUACUUACAGGAAUCUAUCAGAUGAAGACCAGAGAUGAAAGGUUGUGAAUUCCCCUUUCUUGCUUACUUUGCACCUGGGAUGUUGGAAACCUUACACUUGAUGUGACAAAUCACAUAAAUUACAGUCUUUUAUAGGGACACGAUCGAAAGCCAAAGACGUCACUCCCGAGUUAAUUAUCGUAAGCUAUAAUUUCUUUCGGAUUCUUGGCUAAGUGUUUCCUUCUUUUGAUCUAUUAAAACAAGUCUCAUUCCAUUUACUUAAAAGGAGAAGGAAGCUCCAUCCACGUCACAGUAAGUUAGAAUAAAAAAUAUGUCUAAAGUAUUUUAUAAAAAUAUAUGACAAAAGUACAAAACAAUAAUCCCCAUUGAAGCUUAGCUACUUAUAGACUGAAAAAGGUUUAUUAGAUCAAUAUUUUUUGGUAAGAAGUGGUUAUAUUUAGUACAUAGUGAAUAUCAUCUGUUAAUUAGAUUAGAUUUCGUAAUUUAACUAAUGCAGCAUAUUUUAAUAACAAGUAAACAGCAGCUGCAUAAUAUAGUCAUCACCUCGUUAAAUGUUACAUAUUUAAAGGACCUUCAAUGUACUUCUGAAGCAGUUCCAUGAUAAUCCUGGCUAAUAUGAAGUAUGAAAGUAUUAUAUAUGAUUUCAUUUUUAGUUUUUUUUUACUCCUCAUACUUUUAGGAAGAAAACUAUUUAAAUCAACUUGACCUGUAAAAACAACAUCAAAUGCAUUCAUCGAUUGAUGACAAUUUUAUUGAAGCUUUUGACCAAAUUGAUAUUAGCCCAUUGAUUGUGAUUAACUUUGAGACACAACUACGGAUUAGUUUUUCAUGAAAACAAGAUUCUAUAUCCUUUCUACACUGGCAGUGGAGGUUACAACAGAACAUUUUAGCUAAAACUAAACGUUUUUCUCAUUUGUGUUUAUGUGUUUUCACUCAUUUAAAUGUUUCUUUUCAAUUUUACUCGUUUCUUUCAACGUCAGCUUAUGUUAUGCCGCAAAUAAUGAAUACGCAGUGAUCAUCUGUCACCCUAUUCUAUGAUGCUAUGCUUAGCUUUUACUCUUAGUGAUGUCUUUGUUAACAAAGACUAUCCCUGUGGUUUUCUUUUGUCUUGUACUUCCUGGUGAUCAACCGUCAACAAUCCUUCGAUUAAAUUGUUGGUUCAUUGCAGGUUGGUUUCGUCUUCCAUUGCCAAUACUCUUAGUUAAGUUCUUGUAGGUUUUCAUUAAUUAGACUAAAGACAAUUUUCCUACAACUCAACAGCAGAGAUAUAGCCACAGCAAUGACUCAGCAAAUCUAUGACCUUGUAUGACCUUAGAGGACUUAUCAAAGUUACAAGACAAGACAUACCUGAUGCAUGAGGUGUAAUGUGUUGUAUAAUCUGCUAAUAAGAUAAUGGCCAAAAAUAUAUUCAUGAUAGUUUGGCUUAUUGUGAAACAUGCAAUGUGUUACACUAUAUAUUAGGGGUGUAACGAUUCGAUUCAAAUCGCGAUUCAUGGUUGCCGAUUUGAUUCAUGGACGAUCUGGGUUAAUUUAGAACGAUUCGAUUUGAUUCAGUGACUUGAAAUCAAUUCAGUAACUUUACUGGACAGUGCAGGCAAAGUUUCUGAGAUCCCUGUUGUUUCUUGUAAGGAAAUCAGGUUUAAAUUAAUUAUGGAUAUUAUAAACAAGCAAACGACAAUUAAUGGCAAAUGUAUUAACCUUUUAUUUGAAUCAAGUGCCAUUUUCAAUGUAAACAUUACACAAUAAUUACACAAUGUUUGGAUCAAUUCACAGAACCCCGGAUUUUCAACCACAUUGUAGGGUCGCAUGUCUUUACAGCUAAACUUGGCAAUUGUUACUGUGAUGCUGAGUUUUGUGCUGGCGAGGCCUGAGGUGUCUGCAGAGCUGCAGUUACCUGCUGCUGCUGCAGCGGUGACGCUGCUACAGGCGCCUGACUGUCGGCGUUGUUUAAUCCCACGGCGCCUUAGUAGAUGGCUGGAAAGAUUUGUCGUGUUUCCGUGUUUUUUAUUUGGCUUCUACACAUUCUACAAACAGCGACAGACUUAUUUAGAACACCUCCGUGUUUGCAAAAGCCAAAAUGUUCCCGCACGCUGGAUCGAUAAGUUGGUUUGUAAAUGUCUUGCUCGCAGUCGUCUCCUCCACGCUGUGUUUUGUUGUUGUUCAGAGUUUCGCGCGGCUGCCACUUCGUACUGAAGACGUCACAGUCAGGCAGACUGAAUCCAGUAACGUUCAACGUGUUUAAAGUGCUAAAAAACAAACAAACAAACACGCAUCCAUACCGUUUUUGUACUUAAAUCCAAUGUGCAGUUUCCAAGUAUCGAUACAAUCGAUUAUGUACCAUUUCAAUCGAUUUGUAAUCGAUAUAUGUUGUCCUGAAUACCGAUUUGCGGAGCACAGAUCGAUUCAGUUGGAUCGCAGGAAUAUAAAUCAAUUAAUCGAUUCAGUGAAUGAAUCGUUACACCUCUACUAUAUAUAUAUAUAUAUAUAUAUAUAUAUA